GAGGAGCUGCCGAAGGCGGGACCGAUGACUGGGGUGAAGUCGUAACAAGGUAGUCGUAUCGGAAGGUGCGGCUGGAUCACCUCCUUUCUAAGGAA
rnacentral:rRNA from 1 species